GAAAGGUGCCGAUAGAGUGCACCGGUACUUCUAUGGUUAAUUAUCGGUACUAUCAGUUGUGAUCGAGUAAAGAAAAGCGUAACGGCGGUGCUAAAUAGAAAAAAAAAAGAAAAAGGAGGAAAUUGUCCGAUACGCGCAAUUUGAAAACCUGCAAUUUGAAAAAUCGAUCAAGAAAAAAAAAAAAAUAAAUCAAGAUGUCCAAAAAACCAGGUACUACUCAAGCAAUGCAUAAAGUUAUAAUGGUUGGAAGCGGAGGUGUAGGCAAAUCUGCUCUAACAUUGCAAUUUAUGUACGACGAGUUUGUCGAAGAUUACGAACCUACAAAAGCAGAUUCGUACAGGAAAAAAGUUGUAUUGGACGCGGAGGAAGUUCAAAUAGAUAUAUUAGACACUGCAGGACAAGAGGAUUACGCAGCAAUUCGGGAUAAUUAUUUUCGGAGCGGGGAGGGAUUUCUUUGUGUAUUUUCCAUAACUGAAGAUGAUAGUUUUCAAGCCACUCAAGAAUUUAGAGAACAGAUCCUCAGGGUAAAAAACGAUGAAAACAUUCCAUUUUUAUUAGUGGGAAAUAAAUGUGAUUUACAAGAAAAGAGGAAAGUUAGUUUAGCUGAAGCUCAAGCUAGAUCACAACAAUGGGGUGUACCAUAUGUAGAAACAAGUGCAAAAACGAAAGAAAACGUUGAUAAGGUAUUUUUCGACUUGAUGCGUGAAAUAAGAUCACGCAAGAUUGAAGAUAAGUCAGCAAGCAACGGUCGUGGAAAGGACCGUGCCAAGAGGAAGAAAAAGAAGUGCAAAAUUCUAUAGUAUUCUUUUCACUUUUUUUCUGAAAUUUAAAUAAGUAUGUAUAUGUGCAACUAUCAGCAGGUAACACUUAUACCAGAAGUAUCAAUCUGCAAGAGUGUCUCUCACAGGUGUUCUUUGACUUGAUGCGUGCAAUAGCUGCACGUAAAGCGCAGGAAAAUCAAGGGGAUGGAAGUGAACA